UGUUCCUUCUGUUGGCUGAUAAGUACCUUUUGUUGGCUGAUAUACUCCUCUUGUUAGCUGAUAUGUAUCUUUUAUAGGCUAAUAUAUUCCUUUUGUUGACUGAUACAUUUUUAUUAAUGUCUUUAACGUUGGUUGAUACAAAAUAUCAAUUGGCUGAUAUAUUACAUGUAUUAGCUGAUUGUACAAAGUAUAUACAAGUAGUAUUUUUAUUUCAUUUUCUCUCCUCUCUUUCCCCCUCUUCCUCUCUUUCUUUUUCUCUCCUGUUAGCAGAUUCACAAUCACGCCACCCCUCAUUCUCUCUCCUUCUCCUUCGUUUCUCACUUCCCUUUCCUCCUCAAAUCAGUCCGGCCACCGAUCCUCGCCACGCCGUUUCGCCGCCGCCGUUCACCGAACCCAGGCCACCACACCCACAAACCACCAAAGCUAGGCCACCGCACCCACAAACCACCGAAUCCAAGUCACCGCACCCACUACCAGCGAACUCCACUAGCGAAUCGCACCACCACCGGCAAACUCCACCAGGGAAUCGCACCUCCGCAGCCACCUGCACCAGCGAAUCGCACCUCCCGUGCGAUCUUGAAUCAAAGGACGGUCGCCGUCGCCGGAGAAUUUAUUCUUCAUCUCCUCCGUCGUCGUCCUCGUCUCUAACAAUUGGUGGAACUUGGAAGGAUGUGAGUUGCCGCACGAAAUAUUGGGUGCUAAAAAAAAAAAAAAAAAAAAGAGGUAUAAUAAAUUUAAAAUUCUCAACAAAAUGAUCUAAGAUGUUACUUAAAUUGUGAUUUGGGCACUCAUGUUGCAUUAUAUUAGUCACAACAAAUGUUUUAAUACUACUUGCCUCGCUUAUUUGCUAUGUGGUUCGAAAUUUCUUGUGUUAAAAGAGGAGAUAGUAGUGCUGUAAAGGCCAAUAUUAGCUUCAGCUCCAUGAUAGACAUGUUGAAUGUUGUCAUAUUGAUAAUGUCAUGAGAAUUGAUUACUUGGUAAUUAGUUUUAAACAUUUGGUAAGUGAGUUGAUGAUGUGUGAAAUUAGAUCCAUUGUAUAGACUAAAGAUGCAACUUUAGUAACUAGUAAGGUGAUAUAACAUACAAAUUUAAGUACAACAAAGUCUAUUUGCCAAAUAUGUGUUUUUUUUUUUUUGGGUGUUCCACCGGUUCACCCUUUGGGGUUAAUCUGAAUUUGAGGAUCAGUUCUAAGUGGUUAGGUUUCAGUCCCCUCCCAAUUGUUGUUGCGGGGAUAGAACACGUGGUCCUCCCUACCAAGUGUAGCCCCAAUCACCACUACA